AUUCUUCCGGUUCAAGAGCAUGAUGAUCGGUGCGUUCACGGACUCUCCGUGACAGGUGCGACCUCUAACUUGUUACGACCUGCGCCUCAGCCCUUCUGAUC